rnacentral:rRNA from 1 species
AUUGAACGCUGGCGGCAGGCCUAACACAUGCAAGUCGAGCGAGCGGUGGACGGGUGAGAAAUGUAAGGGGACUGCCUGAUAGAGGGGAAUAACUAAUGGAAACGGUCGCUAAUAUCGCAUAAUAGCGCAUAACCCAGAUGGGAUUAGCUAGUAGGUGGGUUAAUGGCUCACCUAGGCGACGAUCCCUAGCGGGUCUGAGAGGAUGAUCAGCCAGCCUGGGACUGAGACACGGCCCAGACGCCUACGGAGGCAGCAGUGGGGAAUAUUGCACAAUGGGCGCAAGCCGGAUGCAGCCAUGCCGCGUGUAUGAAGAAGGCCCUAGGGUUGUAAAGUACUUUCAGUCGGGAGGCGUUACCGACAGAAGAAGCACCGGCUAACUCCGUGCCAGCAGCCGCGGUAAUAC